rnacentral:misc_RNA from 1 species
GAUGAAGAACGUAGCGAAAUGCGAUACUUGGUGUGAAUUGCAGAAUCCCGUGAACCAUCGAGUCUUUGAACGCAAGUUGCGCCUGAAGCCAUUAGGCCGAGGGCACGCCUGCCUGGGUGUCACACGUCGUUGCCCCCCCAUCUACUCCUUCGGGAUUGCGGGGGGCGGAUGAUGGCCUCCCGUGCGCCUCGUCGCGCGGUUGGCAUAAAUGCCAAGUCCUCGGCGACGCACGCCACGACAAUCGGUGGUUGCGAAACCUCGGUUGCCCGUCGUGUGCGGUCGUCGCGCAUCGAGGGCUCGAAAAAAUUGCCGGGCUCCGGCUCGGCUUUCAACGCGACCCCAGGUCAGGCGGGGUUACCCGCUGAAUUUAAGCAUAUCAAUAAGCGGAGGA